rnacentral:lncRNA from 1 species
GCAUGAUUUUACAGAUUUGCGUUGAGUAGCCAAAAAGCGGGAGAAUUAAAAAAAAGUAGUACUUGACAUAACUACUAAGAUAAGAUAACACUGAUAAUUCAUGAGGGAGGUGUUCUCUCAUUUGAUCCUAGAGGCUGAGGGAGGUGUUCUCUCAUUUGAUCCUAGAGGCUGAGGAAGGUGUUCUCUCACUUGAUCCUAGAGGCUGAGGGAGGUGUUCUCUCAUUUGAUCCUAGAGGAUGAGGGAGGUGUUCUCUCACUUGAUCCUAGAGGCUGAGGGAGGUGUUCUCUCACUUGAUCCUAGAGGCUGAGGGAGGUGUUCUCU